rnacentral:rRNA from 1 species
GACAGAGGAUGCAAGCGUUAUCCGGAAUGAUUGGGCGUAAAGCGUCUGUAGGUGGCUUUUCAAGUCCGCCGUCAAAUCCCAGGGCUCAACCCUGGACAGGCGGUGGAAACUACCAAGCUGGAGUACGGUAGGGGCAGAGGGAAUUUCCGGUGGAGGCGGUGAAAUGCAUUGAGAUCGGAAAGAAACACCAACGGCGAAAGCACUACUGCUGGGCCGACACUGACACUGAGAGACGAAAGCUAGGGGAGCAAAGGGAUUAGGAAAACCCUAA